rnacentral:lncRNA from 1 species
UUUGUGGCUAGGUCUCAUUAUGCCCAUGAGGGAGUUGCUGUAUAAGCCGACCCCCCUUUUGUUGUGUCUAGCCUUCGAGAUUAUUUCGCCUCUCUUGGGGUGCCCCGCCCCUCCUUAUUUAAGUUGAAGGGGCGGGUUACAUGACUAGUCCUAGUAGGAUUAGGAUUAGGAUUACAAGUGGAGUCCUAUUCUUGCUUCCUUUGUAAGGGAAUAUUCCUUAUGCUUUCCUCUUAAGCCGACCCAUCAUAACAUGAGCCGGCCUUCUGGGCCUUGGGCCUAGUCCUCUAUCUCACCCGCCGUCGGGGCCAUCAGUGAGUCACCAGGCUCGUGAGUCGUCAGACUAGUGAACCACCAGACUCGUGAGUCGCCAAUCCUCCGGCGGGUUACCAAUGAAACGCCAAGUCCCAGCCGGGUCAUACCGCGGGGUAUAUCCCCGACAAUGGUGAUGCAGUUUUGGUAUUUUGCUGCAACUGUAUGGACAAGGGGAUCCUCAAUGCUCUCAACUGACACCGCAUACCGCACUUUGCAGAUUUGGCACACAUAGUAUAGAAGUAUUACGCAAUGGAAAGCGCCUGGAAAGCCCAGAUAGCCCGGUGGGACACGCCCGCCUUCAAGCCUCCCACCGGACGGGCAAAAAGGAUGCACCCUCGUGGGGCACCUAAUCUUCCUCCCAUGGGCAAGAAAAUCAAUCCCUUAGUGGGACAUAUAAUUGUCUUUAAGGAAUGGCUCGACAAGCCUUGUCAGAUACACACAACGCCAAAUACCGAACCAACACACAGCCUUCGGGCGUGUUGGAUACUCUGGCAGGUGGCUAAGAGCGGUGAGGCUAUCCUCACCAACACUACCCCAGAGAAGCCCUCUUCAGAGGAUGACGAUCUCAACGUAUUUACGGUCUUCGAGACCUUUUCUUCAAAUAAUCGGUGCAUAAGGGCGCUCCACGACCUCGCCGAAGUUAAACCAAGUAGUCGCAGGAAAUCCUUGGAAUGAUACAACGAUAACUUUCACCGCCAACGAAGAACCAAGGGCUCGAUCAUUCCGCGCACUAGCCUCUUUGGUCCUAAAUCCAAUCGUCAACGGCUUUCGGCUCGCUAAAGUACUCAUGGAUGGUGGCAGCGGACCGAACCAAAUCUACAAGGACACGCUUGAUAAAAUACAAAUAGACAAGAGCCGCAUCGAGCAGAGCAGUACAACCUUUUGAGGCAUUAUCCCUAGUCGCGAAGCGCGAUGUUCGGGGAAAGUUAAACUUUAUGUGGUAUUCGGCACACCGGAGAACUACAGGUCCAAAGAGUUAAUCUUCCAUGUGGCACCUUUCAACAGCGGAUAUCAUGCCCUGUUGGGGCGAGACGCAUUCACACGCUUUCAACCCAUACCCCAUUACGGGUAUAUGAAGCUCAAAAUCCCCGGGCCCAACGGAGUUAUCACUAUCACCAGUGAUCCGGACAUAGCACUCCGCGCCGAAAACAAAACCACAUCCCUGGCCCUCGAGGCACUAUCCGAGGCCCUUGUGGCCGAGGAGCUCACCGCCCUGCAUUCCACAGUGGAUAGAGAUGACAUAAUCCUUGAUAAAAGGCCUAAGUCCACUUCUUUCAAACCAGCAGGCGAAAUAGUCAAAUUCCAAGUCCACCCGACGAAUCCUAAUAAAAUAUCCACCAUUGGAGCACAGCUAAAUUGGACGGUCGACGCUGCUCUAAGAGCAUUCCUGCAUGAAAAUUGGGACAUUUUUGCCUGGCAUCCUUCAGAUAUGCCAGGAAUCCCACGCAGACUGGCCGAACAUAGUUUCAACAUAAUAAAGGGGUUCAAGCCAAUUAAGCAAACGCUACGGUGAUUUUCCGAACCCAAGCGACAAGCUAUGGGGGAGGAGCUAGCCAAACUACUUGAAGCCGGGUUCAUUAGAGAGAUAAAACACCCGGAUUGGCUAGCAAACCUGGUCAUGGUACCAAAGAAAGACAAAUCCUGGCGCCUUUGUGUCGAUUUCAAAGACCUCAAUAAGGCCUACCCCAAGGACCCCAUCCCACUGCCCGCAUUGACCAAAUCAUCGAUGCAACUGCAGGACAUGAUUCACUGUGUUUCCUCGAGGCAUACUCCGGAUACCAUCAGAUUAAGAUGAAGGAAUCCUUUCAGGCCGAAACAUCAUUCAUCACUCCGUACGGGCCUAUCUACUUUAACACUAUGCCUUUUGGACUCAAAAACGCCGGCGCCACUUACCAACGCAUGAUUCAAACAUGCCUGGAAAAACAAAUUGGCAAGACGGUGGAGGCAUAUGUCGAUGAUGUAGUCAUCAAAACUAAACAUGUCGAAUCAUUGGUGGACGACUUAUGUCUUACAUUUGAUAACCUUCGAACAUAUGACAUAUGGCUUAAUCCGGAAAAAUGCGUUUUCGGCGUUCUGGCCGGAAGGCUGCUCGGGUUCAUUGUUUCCAAUAAAGGAAUCGAAGCAAAUCCGACCAAAAUCCGAGCCUUGUCACAGUUGGCAAUACCAACAGACCUAAAGCAAGUCCAAAAAUUAGCAGGGUGCGUAGCAGCCUUGAUCCGCUUUAUCUCCAGAUUGGGAGAGAAGGCAUUGCCACUAUAUCGCCUGCUUCGACAUACGGACCACUCUGAGUGGACAGACGCGGCAAUAGCCAGGUUGGAGGAAAUAAAAACUCUGCUAGCAAACAACCCAAUUCUUGCCGCACCGAACAUUGGCGAACCUAUGCUACUGUACAUAUCUGCAACUCACCAGGUGGUGAGCGCAGUACUCAUCAUUGAACGAGAGGAAGAGUGACAUAAAUUCCCACUCCAAAACCCGUAUACUAUUGUCGGUGUUCUGGGAACGGGGGUCCCCAGACUUUCCUGCCUGCGGCCCAUGGCGUGGCUAAGCAGCGGGCCGUACGACCCAUCUUCAUCAACAAGGCAUCCAAGACAUUCGCAAGGGCCCGAGCCUCGCGAGGCGGAUGACACAAGGCCUCCUCUGGAGUGGCCUAGCCAGGCAGGCUCAUGAGGAGCAGAGAUAUCAAGGCGGGGCAAACCUCACGAGGGACUCAUGGCGUGAGCCAUGACGAACAGCGCCAGGUGGGCGCCAGGCGAGCGCCGGUGCGUGCAGAGUCCUUGUUUCCUCUUUGGUGCUAAGGAGGCAAGCGCAUGCGAAGAGUACCGAGGCAUCAGGCAAAGGUUGCCAUAUUAGUGCAACAAGACCAAGACCAGGAGGACCGCAAGGCGGAGGUCAUCAUGGAGCCCAAGACGGCGUCAUCCCAGGGCUUUUCGCAGGCGAAGACCGCUUUUGUCUGGAUAGCUUGUACUAGCUGCCCCCCUUCAAAUUUUCCCGCCGUUGUUGGCUCCCUUCCCUCUCAACAUUUGGGAAGAGGACCAGGGCCUCUAUAAAUAGGACUAGCCACCACAGUAGUAGGAAAACUUGAACAGAGCGAGAAGCCAACACUCGCACAAGAACACCUCAACCUCAGGAGGCUGUUCUUCCCUUGUACUAUUCAUCAUCAGCCCAAGAGGCAAUCCACCACCACCACACUGAAGUAGGGUAUUACACCACAUCGGUGGCCCGAACCAGUAUAAACCUCGUGUCUCUUUCUGUGUUGUGAGUUCGUCGAGUUCGUCCGCAAGAUCCUAGCGAGCUUGAGCGUAGAUCGGUAGGAGGGAAAGACUUCGCGUGCACCCCAGUGUUCGAACCUUAAGGGUUUGCCGGAACCCCACAUCCGACAUUUGGUGCACUAGGUAGGGGUGUGCUGUGGUUUCCCUUCCAUCGGUUCGUUGCUCCGCCGCUCCGUCGUCUCCAUGGCGGACGCUCGCCGUGCUCGAGCUGAGCAUCGGGCCGCCCUCUCCGCCUGUGUCGCUCAGACGGCUCCUGUGGGGGGGCCACCUCGUCGCUCUCCGUCUCCCAUCGCCAACGCUGCCACCGGCCUGGCGGGGAAUGAGCAGCAGGCGUCCUUGCUGCAUCCCUCGGUGCGGCAGGACGGCCGCACCGCUACUCCAUCGCUCACCCCUGCUGGUUCUUCGUCCCGCACGCAUAGCGCUCCCAUGGAGGCACGAGUUGCGCUCAUCGCGGCGAAUGAGCUCCUGCGCUACUUCCCUGUCGACGAAGUCUACGAGGAGUGGCUCGACCGCGUCGCCGAGCUCGUCCGCGCCGCAGAGGGCUCUCCAGCGCCGUCCAAUUCUCUGCCUCCCCCUCAACCAGCCGCGGGCUACGGGGCUCAUGGCGUGCCUCCACCACCUCACCCCCAAGACGGUGCCUUGGCACCGAGGCGCGCACCUCCACGGCGUGAUCCACCGCCCCCGGUGCACGCGCGCAAAGAAAGAAGCUGGCAAGAAAUCCCGCGGCCGCGAGAGGCUGCGCCGGCGCUCCCCGCGCCACCUCGUCAAGACCACGCACCGCCCACGGUGGCGCAGCGCGAGCCGCGUCAAGACCAAGCUCCACUCCUGAAGCGGGCCUCGGCAACCACAGCCGGCUGCCGCGCCUUCACCCCCGAGUUGCGUAGCGUCGCUUGGCCAGGCAAGUUCAAGCCAAACCUGCCUCCUCGCUACGACGACACCGUGGACCCUGCGGAGUUCCUGCAGCUCUACGAGCUGAGCAUCGAAGCAGCCAACGGCGACGAAAAAGUCAUGGCGAACUGGUUUCCCAUGGCUCUCAAGGACGGGGCCCGCUCUUGGCUCCUGAACCUGCAGCACGGGUGGAUCCCCUCCUGGGACGAGAUGCGCAACCGCUUCGUCGCCAACUUCCAGGGCACUCGCGACCGUCCUCCGGCCGCGGGUGACCUGCGCCGCAACAAGCAACAGCCAGGAGAAACCCUCCAAAAGUACAUCCAGCGCUUCAACAACACCCGCCUCAAGAUCCCCAAGGUCACCGACGAAGCCAUCAUCUUCGCGUUCUCCGACGGCAUCCGCGACGUUGAUCGAUUGAAAGUGCAGCGGGAUAUUUACGCCCCAAACUACGGAUGUCGUAUUCUCCUUAGGGACUAGGCGACAACAGUCGUGCUCGGCUAAAGCCAGAUCAGACGAAAAGGUUUUUGAUAUUGCAAGACAAACGAAAAUAAAGCAAGUUUGUUCCAGAAAAUCAUUGACAAAUAAGAUGUACUCACUAUAUUUUUGGUAUUUUUAUUUGUUUUACUUUGGGAACUAAAAUACUAGCACAUGCUAACAUGAGAAACAAGGAAAACUACAAGACAGCAACACAUAUAUGUUCAGCAACUAGUAUGAAAGAAAAGAAUUAAGAUCAAGGGACAAGAACAGAAGUACUUCACAUCACAAGCAUAUAUAUACUCACACGUACAUAGCUAACACAGGGACUAAGAAUUAAAGAUGUUCAAACUACUCACUUGACAGAGAGCACAAACAACACAAAAAUAGACAAGUAAGCUAGGUUCUUACAAAUGACUAGUUGAUAAACAGAGCACAUAUAUUGAACAGUACUACUAGACAAAUCUGAACAACACAUGCCAUACAAAUCUCAAUUCUAAACAUUACAAAAUACUAAACAUUAUACUACUCAAGAUUACAGAAAUUUGAGAGAGAGAAACAACAGCAGCAAGUUAGGGAAGUUGAGCGGAGGAGGAGCAGCGAAGGGGUUCAGAGAGAAAGAGAGAGACAGCAGGGGCGGCAGUAAGUUCAGAGAAGGAGCAGCAGCAGUAGGUUCAGAGAAAGAGUAGCAGUAGGUUCAGAGAAGGAGCGGCAAUAAGGUUUGGGAAGAAGAGGCAGCAGGGGAAAGGAGUAGUAGAAGCAGCGUGGAGGCGCAGGGGAGAAGAGAGCAACAACAGUUUGAGGCGAGGGAAGAAGAGAAGCAGCAGUAGGUUCAGAGAAGGCUUCAACAGAGGCGCAACAUGUAGUUUGGAGAUGGAGAAGGAGUUCGGGUUCAGGGAGCAACAACAGAGGUGAGGAAGAAGAGGGUAGCAGUAGGAGGACUGGAGGAUGGUGUGGUGGCGCUGGAUAUGGUGAUGGAUGGUGUGUGGCGGCGGUGCUGGAGAUGGUGAUGGAUGGCGCGGUGGUUCGAGGUGGUGAUGCGGCGCUGGUAGUGGCGGGUGGUGGAGAUGGAGUGGAUGAUGGAGUGGUGGCUGGAUGGACGGCGCUGGGCGCUGGUGGCGCACCUACCACGCCGGCCUGGCCAUGGCGGCGGCCAGAGGUGGAGAAGAAGGGUAAGGGAAAGAGAGAGAUGCCAGGCCCGAUUUGGGGAUUGAGAGCGCUAGGGAUUUGAUCCCCUUAAUCAGAUCUUCCCCUUUGCAAUCUGGCCCCUCUCCUUUUCUUCCUUCUGCACAAGUUGGUCCUCCUCUUAUUUAGGCAAACCCUUCAAGCUUUAGUGUUCAUCACACUUGGGUCCCUCCAUCUUUCUGUCCUGCCCUUGUCUCUUCUCAUCAGCCCCAUAGUCCAAAUUUUGAAGUUUAUAGGCCUUUUCGCCCUAUUCUGCAAAAUAAACAAAUUACUAGUCACGAGCUCUUUCGUGAAUAUCAUUUGAAUAUUCGAUAAUUCUAAGCAAGGAUAGAUUGACAUAUCUCAAUAAAUGGUGUAUAUGUGUGCCCAAAUCGUAUAUAUGAAAUGUGCUUAUCAAGUACCCCCACACUUAAAUCUUUGCUUGUCCUCAAGCAAAGGCAUUUGACAAGAGCAAGGUAGUGAUCAGCGAACUGACUAGAGAAUGUCCCAGUGAAGUAGAUCUCCAAACAAUGCAUGCUUUGAACUUUUGCUAGUGAAAAUCAAUGGUUAAGAGUGCUACAAAGCAGUAUGAUACUAGUAAGCAUGACCAUUUUUAACUUUUACAAUGAUAAAAGAGGAUCAACAAGUUUAAAUGAUGACUGUGCCAAAUGGUUCCUAAAGAGAGCAUGAUCUCGAGAACAAAAUGAACUGGAAUUAAAUCUUGUGAUCAAUCGAUCAUUUUGGCGCCUAUCACGCGGGUGACCUGAGUUCGAUCCCCGGCAACGGCGCCAAAAUGAUCGAUUGAAAGUGCAGCGGGAUAUUUACGCCCCAAACUACGGAUGUCGUAUUCUCCUCAGGGACUAGGCAACGACAGUCGUGCUCGGCCAAAGCUAGAUCUGACGAAAAGGUUUUUGAUAUUGCAAAACAAACGAAAAUAAAGCAAGUUUGUUCCAGAAAAUCAUUGACAAAUAAGAUGUACUCACUAUAUUUUUGGUAUUUUUAUUUGUUUUACUUUGGUAACUAAAAUACUAGCACAUGCUAACAUGAGAAACAAGGAAAACUGCUAGACAGCAACACAUAUAUGUUCAGCAACUAGUAUGAAAGAAAAGAAUUAAUAUCAAGGGACAAGAACAGAAGUACUUCACAUCACAAGCAUAUAUAUACUCACACGUACAUAGCUAACACAUGGACUAAGAAUUAAAGAUGUUCAAACUACUCACUUGACAGAGAGCACAAACAACACAAAAAUAGACAAGUAAGCUAGGUUCUUACAAAUGACUAGUUGAUAAACAGAGCACAUAUAUUGAACAGUACUACUAGACAAAUCUGAACAACACAUGCCAUACAAAUCUCAAUUCUAAACAUUACAAAAUACUAAACAUUAUACUACUCAAGAUUACAGAAAUUUGAGAGAGAGAGAAACAGCAGCGGCAAGUUAGGGAAGUUGAGCGAAGGACUAGCAGCGAAGGGGUUCAGAGAGAAAGUGAGAGACAGCAGGGGCAGCAGUAAGUUCAGAGAAGGAGCAGCAGCAGUAGGUUCAGAGAAAGAGUAGCAGUAGGUUCAGAGAAGGAGCGGCAGCAUGGUUUGGGAAGAAGAGGCAGUAGGGUAAAGGAGUAGUAGAAGCAGCGUGGAGGCGCAGAGGAGAAGAGAGCAACAGCAGUUUGAGGCGAGGGAAGAAGAGAAGCAGCAGUAGGUUCAGAGAAGGCUUCAGCAGAGGCGCAGCAUGCAGUUUGGAGAUGGAGAAGGAGUUCGGGUUCAGGGGAGCAACAACGGAGGUGAGGAAGAAGAGGGUAGCAGUAGGAGGACUGGAGGAUGGUGUGGUGGCGUUGGAUAUGGUGAUGGAUGGUGUGCGGUGGCGGUGCUGGAUGGCGCGGUGGUUCGAGGUGGUGAUGCGGCGCUGGCAGCGACGGUUGGUGGAGAUGGAGUGGAUGAUGGAGUGGUGGCUGGAUGGAUGGCGCUGGUUGCUGGUGGUGCACCUACCAUGCCAGCCUGGCCAUGGCGGCGGCCGGAGGUGGAGAAGGAGGGUAAGGGAAAGAGAGAGAGAUGCCAGACCCGAUUUGGGGAUUGAGAGCGCUAGGGAUUUGAUCCCCUCGAUCAGAUCUUCCCCUUUGCAAUCUGGCCCCUCUCCUUUUCUUCCUUCUGCACAAGUUGGUCCUCCUCUUAUUUAGGCAAACCCUUCAAGCUUUAGUGUACAUCACACUUGGGUCCCUCCAUCUUUCUGUCGUGCCCUUGUCUCUUCUCAUUAGCCCCAUAGUCCAAAUCUUGAAGUUUAUAGGCCUUUUCGCCUUAUUCUGCAAAAUAAACAAAUUACUAGUCACAUGCUCUUUCGUGAAUAUCAUUUGAAUAUUCGAUAAUUCUAAGAAAGAAUAGAUUAACAUAUCUCAAUAAAUGGUGCAUAUGUGUGCCCAAAUCGUAUAUAUGAAAUGUGCUUAUCAAGUACCCCCACACUUAAAUC